rnacentral:rRNA from 1 species
CCCUUAGAUGUUCUGGGCCGCGCGCGCGCUACACUGAUGAAUUCAACGAGCUCCUAACCUAGGCCGAAGGGUCCGGGUAAUCUUUGAAAUUUCAUCGUGAUGGGGAUAGAUUAUUGCAAUUAUUAAUCUUCAACGAGGAAUUCCUAGUAAGCGCGAGUCAUCAGCUCGCGUUGAUUACGUCCCUGCCCUUUGUACACACCGCCCGUCGCUCCUACCGAUUGAAUGGUCCGGUGAAAUGUUCGGACCGCGACAAGGCGGACGGUUCGCUGUCAGCUUUGCUGCGGGAAGUUCAUUAAACCUUAUCAUUUAGAGGAAGGAGAAGUCGUANCA